GACGAACGCUGGCGGCGUGCUUAACACAUGCAAGUGGAGCGACGAACCAGGGCUUGCCCUGGGGCAGAGCCGCGAACGGGUGAGUAACACGUGGGUAACGUGCCCGAUGACCGGGACAACCCGAGGAAACUCGGGCUAAUACCGGAUGUGGACCUCUCACAUCCGUGAGUUGUCUAAAGGUAGCUUCGGCUUCCGCCUUGGGAGCGGCCCGCGGCCCAUUAGCUUGUUGGUGAGGUAACGGCUUACCAAGGCUUCGAUGGGUAGCUGGUCUGAGAGGACGAUCAGCCACACUGGGACUGAGACACGGCCCAGACUCCUACGGGAGGCAGCAGUGGGGAAUCUUGCGCAAUGCGCGAAAGCGUGACGCAGCAACGCCGCGUGGGGGAAGACGGCCUUCGGGUUGUAAACCCCUUUCAGGAGGGACGAAGGUCACACGGUUAAUAGCCGGCGUGACUGACGGUACCUCCAGAAGAAGCCCCGGCUAACUACGUGCCAGCAGCCGCCGUAA
rnacentral:rRNA from 1 species